UACGGAAGGCAGCAGUGGGGAAUAUUGCACAAUGGGCGCAAGCCUGAUGCAGCCAUGCCGCGUGUAUGAAGAAGGCCUUCGGGUUGUAAAGUACUUUCAGUCGUGAGGAAGGUGUUAAGGUUAAUAACCUUAGCAAUUGACGUUAGCGACAGAAGAAGCACCGGCUAACUCCGUGCCAGCAGCCGCGGUAAUACGGAGGGUGCGAGCGUUAAUCGGAAUUACUGGGCUAAAGGGCACGCAGGCGGUUAAUUAAGUUGGAUGUGAAAUCCCCGGGCUUAACCUGGGAAUGGCAUUCAAGACUGGUUAGCUAGAGUCUUGUAGAGGGGGUAGAAUUCCAUGUGUAGCGGUGAAAUGCGUAGAGAUGUGGAGGAAUACCGGGUGGCGAAGGCGGCCCCUGGGCAAAGACUGACGCUCAUGUGCGAAAGCGUGGGGAGCAAACAGGGAUUAGAUACC
rnacentral:rRNA from 1 species